AGAGUUUGAUCCUGGCUCAGGAUAAACGCUGGCGGCGUGCCUAACACAUGCAAGUCGAACGCCCUCUCGCGAGAGAGGGAGUGGCGGACGGGUGAGUAGCACGUGGGUACCUGCCCUGGGAUGAGGAAUACCACCGGGAAACCGGUGACAAUACCGCAUACGCUCGGACAACCGAGCAAAGCUCUUUUUCGGAAGGGCGCGCGUGGACGAGCCUGUGUCUGAUUAGUUCGUUGGUGGGGUAAGAGCCUACCAAGACUGCGAUCAGUCGCUGGUCUGAGAGGAUGAUCAGCCACACUGGGAUUGAGAACGGCCCAGACUCCUACGGGGGGCAGUAGUGAGGAAUAUUCGGCAAUGGGGGCAACCCUGACCGAGCAACGCCGCGUGCAGGAUGACGGCCUUCGGGUUGUAAACUGCUUUUCUGGGGGAUGAGAGUGGACAGUACCCCAGGAAGAAGCUCCGGCUAACUACGUGCCAGCAGCCGCGGUAAUACGUAGGGAGCAAGCGUUGUCCGGAGUUACUGGGCGUAAAGCGCACGCAGGCGGUCAGUCGCGUUCGUGCCGACAGCGACUCGCCUAACGAGUCGAGGAGUACGGAAACGGGCAGACUUGAGGGUCAGAGAGGGACACGGAACUCCGGGUGGAGUGGUGAAAUGCGUAGAGAUCCGGAAGAACACCAAAGGCGAAGGCAGUGUCCUGGCUGAUACCUGACGCUCAGAGGCGACAGCGAGGGGAGCGAACCGGAUUAGAUACCCGGGUAGUCCACGCCGUAAACGAUGGCGACUAGACCUGGGGGGUAUCGACCCCUUCCGGGUCGACGCAAACGCAUGAAGUCGCCCGCCUGGGGAGUACGGCCGCAAGGCUAAAACUCAAAGGAAUUGACGG
rnacentral:rRNA from 1 species